ACGGAGGAUCCGAGCGUUAUCCGGAUUUAUUGGGUUUAAAGGGUGCGUAGGUGGCCUGUUAAGUCAGGGGUGAAAGACGGUAGCUCAACUAUCGCAGUGCCCUUGAUACUGAUGGGCUUGAAUGAACUAGAGGUAGGCGGAAUGUGACAAGUAGCGGUGAAAUGCAUAGAUAUGUCACAGAACACCAAUUGCGAAGGCAGCUUACUAUGGUUUUAUUGACACUGAGGCACGAAAGCGUGGGGAUCAAACAGGA
rnacentral:rRNA from 1 species